rnacentral:tRNA from 1 species
UUUAAUAUGGCAGAUCAGAGUGCAAUAGAUUUAAACUCUAUAUAUAAAGACCCCAUUCUUUUAUUAAA